UGCUGGUAUUGUGAACCUAAGGCACGGUUUUUAAUAGCUUUCGGGUUGGGGUUCCUUACCGGAUUUUAUCAGCAACUCUCUUUAUGUUGUUUCGCAGGGGGCUAAUGUUACUCUACCGAUUUUUUGCCACCUCUGUUUCCAAUAACUGAAUGGCUUUUUUCCUUAAAUCAUAGCUCUACGCUGCUGGCAUUUUUACCUCCUCAUUACCCUAAUUUCAUAUCUUAUCUUGUUUUUACUAUUAUGGAAAGGGAUAUACUUAUUUCAUAAGCUUUUAUUACAUUUACUUCAUCUUGUCACCACAACUUGUAG